rnacentral:lncRNA from 1 species
UGAAUAACUUGGCACAGAUUGGGGCUGCAGCUGGAAUCGAUGAUCCUACCAUCUUACUCUGCCUCUUCAGCUUUGGCAAUUUUCUUGGUCGCCUCGGUGGAGGUGCUGUUUCCGAGUAUUUCGUCAGGUGAGUGUUGAAAGAGGCUCAUAUGAUUUGCAUUGGAUGUCAUAAAUUAUCAAGCAAUUAUGAAUCAAAUCAACAGUGCGGCUCGAUGACAAGUCAAUUUCUUGUUCUUGUUGCAGGACGAGAAUGCUUCCUCGGCCGAUCUGGAUGACAUGCACACAGAUGAUCAUGAUCAUAGCCUACCUUUUAUAUGCCCUGGGUCUCAGCAGCACUCUCAAUGCCUCAACUGCCAUGCUCGGCAUCUGCUAUGGGGUCCAAACUUCCAUCAUGGUUCCGACCGUGUCUGAGCUCUUCGGGCUGAAGCAUUUCGGGACCUUCUUC